rnacentral:rRNA from 1 species
ACGAGUUACUCCUCACUGGCAAGGUUAAUUUUCAUAAGGAAAGUAGCCGAAGCGAAAGCGAGUCUGAAAUAGGCGUUGAGUCGAUGGGAGUAGACGCGAAACCUUGUGAUCUACCCAUGGGCAGGCUGAAGGCCGGGUAAAACCGGCUGGAGGGCCGAACGCACCAACGUUGAAAAGUUGGGCGAUGACCUGUGGGGAGGACUAAAAGUGUAAUCAAACUGGGAGAUAGCUCGUUCUCUCCGAAAUAUUUUUAGGAAUAGCCUCUUGCGGCAACUGUUGGGGGUAGAGCCACUGGAU